rnacentral:ncRNA from 2 species
GUACGCUCUCACUGCCGCGGUGACGGGAACCCGGUGGGAAUCCGGGGCGGCCCUCGCCACUGUGAGCGGGAAGUCGGUGUUCUCGAUGCCACUGCCGGCGCGCACGCGCAGGUGGGAAGGCGAAUACCGGCGUUCCGGCGCAUCUCGACGCGCCGGUGCACCCGUCAGCCAGGAGACCGGCCGCGGGCACGGACACUAU